rnacentral:rRNA from 1 species
AUUGGACGCUGGCGGCAUGCUUUACACAUGCAAGUCGAACGGCAGCACGAAAGAGCUUGCUCUUUUGGUGGCGAGUGGCGAACGGGUGAGUAAUGCAUCGGAACGUACCGAGUAAUGGGGGAUAACUGUCCGAAAGGAUAGCUAAUACCGCAUACGCUUUGAGAAGGAAAGUGGGGGCUCUUCGGACCUCACGUUAUUCGAGCGGCCGAUGUCUGAUUAGCUAGUUGGUGGGGUAAAGGCCUACCAAGGCGACGAUCAGUAGCGGGUCUGAGAGGAUGAUCGCCACCCCGGGGACUGAGCCCCGCCCCAGACCCCUCGGGAAGGCGGCGGGGGGAAUUUUUGAACAAUGGGCGAAGGCUGGACCCGGCCAUGCCGGGUGUCGAAAGAGGGCCUUGGGUUUGUAAAGACUUUUUUUUAGGGAAAAAAAGGAUGUUUUUAACCCCUUUAUCUGCGGACGGUACCUAAAAAAUAAGCCCCGCCUAACUCCGUC